CUUCAGGAAAUCUUCUCAGGAGGUCUUCAGAAAAUUCCAUGGAGCUUCACGCAGACGUGCCUCUACGAAUCUGUUUGACCAACUGGCUUUUUGCUGGUUGAACUGGCAGUUCAAAUCCUUUCUGGCCCGUCUGAGUACAAAUUCAUCUCCUGUCAGCUAUUUCAGCUCCAUGAACCUUAAUAUGCCAUUCACGUCCUCUCCAGAUGUCCACCAGUCUCCAAAUCCCCCAACUUCAGUCAUGUUCCAGAUGUCCAAAUAUGCUAUAACAGUUCAGCUCUGUUACACCAUGAUCCAAUUAAGAAAAUUGCCACAUCUGAUGACAAAAUGAUCCCAGGUCAUCCACUAAUACCUGGAGACAGCAUGGCAGGAAAUACUGGAAAUCGCCAGUCUCAGAUGCUCUGCAUAUCCCACAGUGGACCACAGAGGUCAGUAGGGAUGGUGCUGCACACUCCACCUCCACUGAGCCGUCAUCCAUCUGGACCACUGUUGCAUUGCCCCAGUCCCACAAUAACGACAACUAGAAGUGCAUCAGUGACUGGAAGUGCAAGAGGAGCUGCAUCCUAACUUCAAAUGGGUCCCUGUAACACCACCACACUUCCCAAAACGCAGCUGGGCUCCAUUGCCCAAAUUCAGCCCCUGCCUCAUGGAUCACUUCACUCUCCCAGUCUGGGGAUUCUGGGUAUGACCCAGCAGUUCCAUGUACCCCCUGAGGAUGCCAUUUCCCAUCACCGACUGCCCUUCCUUGGAAAGGGUUUGUCUCUCCAGCCGCUAUCGCACCUUCACGAUUCACGAUCCACUCUCUUCCUGCCCCUUCCAUUGACAGCAGUGUAGCUUGCAGCAAAAGUACUGGCAUUUUCACCAUCAUCGGCAAUAGCAGCAGGCCACGAUGGCCAGCAGGCUCUUGCAGAGGCCCUUUCCACACUAUCCGGCCAUGAUGUCACCACAACAGCAUCAGCAGAACCUUCCUGGGGUGCCAGUAGAGCAACAAAGACCCUCUGAUGUCCCAUCAGGGUAUCCGUAGCCCCAGUCAGGCACGAUGACACCCCACUCCCCCAGGCACUGUGGUAUGUCCCCGGAGAGUCCUCUGAGCUGUGGCCCCAGAACCGUGGCUAAUACACCAUUCUGAACAUGUUCUCUGAAGCUGUAAAAAUGGUAUUAGUGACUAUUACAUUUGUUACAUUAUUAUUGCACAAGUUUCAUUUCGAUCUACUUUAAUUAGAUUUUAAU